GAUGAACGCUAGCGGCAGGCCUAACACAUGCAAGUCGAGGGGUAGAAGGAGCUUGCUCCUUUGAGACCGGUGCACGGGUGCGUAACGCGUAUGCAAUCUACCUUGUACAGGGGAAUAGCCCAGAGAAAUUUGGAUUAAUGCCCCAUAGUAUAUAACCUUCGCAUGUUGGUUAUCUUAAAGUUCCAACGGUACAAGAUGAGCAUGCGUCCCAUUAGUUAGUUGGUAAGGUAACGGCUUACCAAGACGAUGAUGGGUAGGGGUCCUGAGAGGGAGAUCCCCCAGACUGGAAAUGAGGCACGGACCAGAAUGGUAGGGGAGGCAGCAGUGAGGAAUAUAAGUGAAGGAUGCCAAGACUGAACCAGCCAUGCCGCGGACAGAAGGACGGUCCUAUGGAAUGUAACCUGCUUUUAUACAAGAAGAACCCCUCCAACGUGUGCGAGCUUGACGGUACUGAAGGAAUAAGGAACGGCUAACUCCGUG
rnacentral:rRNA from 1 species